CGCGGAGACGCCCUUGCCCCACCGGAAACGGGCUGCACGGAGGAGCCGCGAGCGACGGGCCCCCGGUGACAGCGAGCGCGGGUGUUACCGAGUCCAAGCUCCUGCUGCAGGACAGGCCAGUGAAUCCGAGAGAUGACUUGUUGGGGCAAGGAGUAACGACUUAUUUGGAGAGACAGCAACCCGAGAAGAUGGUGGACUCCUGCCCCCCAAGGAACCAGCUGCCUGCGUUGGAAUUCAGGCUUCUUUUAUACUAAAACGGGAGAGAGCAAAGUCAAACAUGUCCUGGUUCUGGUCAGCUUCCUCUUCCUCCCUGCAGCCAGUCACAGGACUUCUCUGGUGGUGCAGUGGUUAAGAAUCCGCCUGCCAAUGCAGGAGACACGGGUUCAAGCCCUGGUCCGGGAAGAUCCCACAUGCCGUGGAGCAACUAAGCCCGUGUGACACAACUACUACUGAGCCUGCGCUCUAGAGCCCACGAGCCACAACUACUGAAGCCUGCACACCCUAGAGCCCGUGCUCCGCAACAGGAGAAGCCACGGCAGUGAGAAGUCCGUACUCGCCACAACUAGAGAAAGCCAGUACGCCGCAACGAAGACCCAAUG